rnacentral:tRNA from 1 species
GGGGAUAUAGCUCAGUUGGUAGAGCGGUUCGUUCGCAAUGAACAGGUCAGGAGUUCGAAUCUCCUUAUCUCCACCA